GGCCACCCGCAAGGGUGAGUCGAGCGGCGAACGGGUGAGUAACGCGUGGAUAACCUGCCCUGAGGUGUGGGAUAACCAGGGGAAACUCUGGCUAAUACCGCAUGAUACCGAGAGGUCAAAGCGGGCUCGCAAGAGCUCGCGCCAUAGGAGGGGUCCGCGUCCGAUUAGCUAGUUGGUAGGGUAAUGGCCUACCAAGGCGACGAUCGGUAGCCGGCCUGAGAGGGUGAUCGGCCACACUGGAACUGAGACACGGUCCAGACUCCUACGGGAGGCAGCAGUGGGGAAUUUUGCGCAAUGGGCUAACGCCUGACGCAGCAACGCCGCGUGGAGGAUGAAGGUCCUUGGAUUGUAAACUCCUGUCAGCAGGGAAAAAGCGAAUCGGCCUAAUACGCCGGUGAGUUGAUUGUACCUGCAGAGGAAGCCCCGGCUAACUCUGUGCCAGCAGCCGCGGUAAUACAGAGGGGGCAAGCGUUAUUCGGAAUUAUUGGGCGUAAAGGGCGCGUAGGCGGCUUGGCAAGUGGAAGGUGAAAUCCCUCGGCUUAACCGAGGAACUGCCUUCCAGACUGCUUUGCUUGAGGCCGGGAGAGGUGGGUGGAAUUCCCAGUGUAGCGGUGAAAUGCGUAGAUAUUGGGAGGAACACCAGUGGCGAAGGCGGCUCACUGGACCGGUUCUGACGCUGAGGCGCGAAAGCGUGGGGAGCAAACGGGAUUAGAUACCCCGGUAGUCCACGCCGUAAACGAUGAGUGCUUGGUGUAGCGGGUAUCGACCCCUGCUGU
rnacentral:rRNA from 1 species